rnacentral:rRNA from 1 species
GAUGAACGCUGGCGGCGUGCUUAACACAUGCAAGUCGAACGAACCUUCGGGUUAGUGGCGGACGGGUGAGUAACGCGUGAGAAUCUGCCCUCAGGAGGGGGAUAACGGCUGGAAACGGCCGCUAAUACCCCAUAUGCCGCGAGGUGAAAUGAAUUUCGCCUGAGGAUGAGCUCGCGUCUGAUUAGCUAGUUGGUGGGGUAAAGGCCUACCAAGGCAUCGAUCAGUAGCUGGUCUGAGAGGAUGAUCAGCCACACUGGGACUGAGACACGGCCCAGACUCCUACGGGAGGCAGCAGUGGGGAAUAUUGCGCAAUGGGCGAAAGCCUGACGCAGCCAUGCCGCGUGUGUGAAGAAGGCCUUCGGGUUGUAAAGCACUUUCAAUUGGGAGGAAAGGUUCACGGUUAAUAACCGUGAGCUGUGACGUUACCUUUAGAAGAAGCACCGGCUAACUCCGUG